rnacentral:lncRNA from 1 species
UGGUGGGAUAAGGUUGAAGACACAGCUUUUCUCCUUUCUUACCACCAGCUAUCUUGCAAGGACAUCAGGCGAGGAUGGGAAAACGCUGAUUGGAGAUGAGAACAGUUCAGACUGACCUCUAGAUCACAGGCCCUAAAUUCCAGAGGGGUGUGUCUGUGUGCAUUCUCUUCUCUUUUCUGACAGGGAAAACUGAUGAUGAUAUUUAGAAGGACUUGUUUGUCUCCCACUUGAAGGGUAGAUAAGAUGCUGUUCUUUGAAGUGAGCUGAGAGAGUGUAAGUGAAAGAGAGAAGACCUUAAACCCGGGAAAUAGACUGUGAAAAGACAAUCCUUUGCUGAAAGAUGUCUUCUGGUUAAAGUGUCAUCCAGUUCAAGAUCAGGUUAAAAAUAAUGAAAGAUCAGAAGGAAGGACAGAAUUUUUGGAGUUGUCUGUCUUCUGGACAGCAGAGACACUCCUGCAACAUGAAGAAUCUCAGGAAGAUCCAAUAAACAAGUUGGGCUGGUUGCACAUAACUCUAGUUGCCUUCAGACCCAAUACCCUUGGGGGGUCUGAACUUGUAGAAGGCAUCACCAAAUAUCCUUGGCUGAAUUUCCACCAGUCUCAAGCAGAAUGUAAGAGGGAAUGGUGUACUAAUGAAAGGAUACUAUUCCUGCUCCACAAUGGAAAUAAAAUCUUGUGAUUCUACCAUGAUGCCAAUUUGUCUGGCCACUUCAAAUUUCUAAAGACUGUUGCACUCAAUACACAGUUCCUACUGGAACUUUGAACAUUGUCAAGGCCUAUCCUACUUGCCCCUUCUUGAAAUGGGCACUGGAUAAGACUUUUGCAACUUUUGCCAACUCCACAACACAUAUAGAC